rnacentral:lncRNA from 1 species
GACAUUUGUGGUUUCUCCAGCAUAAUUUAGCCGUUUAACGCUAUUAUGUUUCUAAUGGUUGAAAGAGCGCGUGGAAAGGGCAAUUUUCAAGAACAAAAACAAUUACAAUGUACUAUGUGUUAAUUUAUUGCUACUGUAGUAUUAAAAUACCUGACGAGAGUCUCAAUUCUAAUAUUAAGUCGGUUAUAAACCUUGAUAAUAUUAAAGUUUUCAGAAGAUUUGUAUAUCAGAG